rnacentral:rRNA from 1 species
AGAGCGAACGCUGGCGGCAGGCUUAACACAUGCAAGUCGAACGGAUCCUUCGGGGUUAGUGGCGGACGGGUGAGUAACACGUGGGAACGUGCCUUUUGGUUCGGAACAACUCAGGGAAACUUGAGCUAAUACCGGAUGUGCCCUUCGGGGGAAAGAUUUAUCGCCAUUAGAGCGGCCCGCGUCUGAUUAGCUAGUUGGUGAGGUAAAGGCCCACCAAGGCUACGAUCAGUAGCUGGUCUGAGAGGAUGACCAGCCACAUUGGGACUGAGACACGGCCCAAACUCCUACGGGAGGCAGCAGUGGGGAAUCUUGCGCAAUGGGCGAAAGCCUGACGCAGCCAUGCCACGUGAAUGAUGAAGGUCUUAGGAUUGUAAAAUUCUUUCACCGGGGACAUAAUGACGGUACCCGGAGAAGAAGCCCGGCUAACUUCGCGCCAGCAGCCGC